CGGUCGUCUCACCCGUCUUUCGGAUGCUCCUGGAGCUUCCCCUGCAAAUCUACAGUAGCGUUUCUUCUAAAAGACAGAUUUGUGUAUCCGACUGGUUCGCAUGUGCUCCUGAAAAUAGUUCGUGGGUGGCCGUUUUAAAAUGUCAGCCUCCAGUCAAAUUAAUUCAUGAGAAUCUAACAUUUUGGAACAAUCCCUUGGCCACCAUCUGAAGAACCAACUUAUUUUAAAGAACCAACCUUCUGUUCCAUGAUUUAGAGUCUCGCGGUCGACGGGGUAACUGGACAUAUAUUGUUUCCGAAUUUCAGUCAUUUGUUUAUAUUGCUUCUAAUUGAUUACUGUACGAGUGUCUAUUACAAACCCUGCAUUUCUGAGUUGUGCAAAUUAAUACCCAAUUCUCUAGAUUGUUCCAAGUUUUGUUUCCAAUCUCUUAGCCAUCACUUCAUCCAGUCGCUCUGUCCUAAGGCAUACUGUACCCAUGUGAUAAAUCAAUUGGUCUAGAGAUAAUUUCCCAUAUAAAAGUACUAUGGUUCGCAUUGUUUCCUAGGGAGGAGUUGUCACAUAAAAAAGAAACCCAUUUUUUUACCAGCAAAUAGUAUCUAGCACAUAUGGCAUAGAGUGCUUUAUGUAUGCGAUUGGCUCGCAUGACAUUAGGAACCGUCCUAUGAUGAUUAUGAACUACUAAAAAACUGUUCAUGGAUUUGCAACAAUCUAACAUUUUGCGCAAUACCUUGCUGGAAAUUUCUACUCCAAUCCCAUGAACUUGUUUCAAAGAACCAGUCUUCUGUUUCCACAAUUUAGAGUCUCGCACUGGAUGCGGUACCUGAACAUAAUACUGUUUCCAAAACUGAGGCAUUUGUUUACAUUGCUUCUAAUUUAUUACGGUAAGUAUGAGUUCAUUACAAACUUUGUCCUGACCAUUGUUUGACAUCUAACCUGCUGUUUCUGCGUUGUAUUUACUUGCAAGCCCUGUAUUUCUGAGUUGUGCAAAUUAACACCCAAUUCUCUAUAUUGUUCCAGGUUUUGUUUCCAUUUUCUUAACCAUAUCUGUUCACUAGUCUUGUACAAACUCUACUAGAAUCCUAACAAUCUCCGAGCGUUCUUGUACAGUCGGUCAUUACCUAAGACCCUGGGGAAAUAGCAAUAGCCUACAGUUGACUGUCGGGAGCUUCCCCUCAGCGACUCUUGGUCGGCCAUUCGACCAAUUGCCAAGUGUCUGUUGGCCACUUCAUUAGCGAUGGUGAAUGUCCGACAGUUCACCAUCGGCGAUGUGCUGACCACAUUACGGAAGGAGAUGGUCAUCCAUCCAGUGGCCGACGGUGCAAAGCGGGACAUGUGAGGUGCUCAUUGUGCCACGAGAAGCUUAAAGCCACCGGAAGCUGCCAUAUGUGUGGUGGUGUUGCCAACAGUUCUUACACACGGAGCCGCGCCAAGGAGCGCGUGGUUGAGGCCAUCCGCGUCCAGUGCCCAAAUGCUGGUCGCGGCUGCACCACCAGGCCGGCCUACUAUGACCAGGAGAGACACCGUCAGACAUGUCUGCAUGCGCCCUGCCGCUGUCCCAUUGUGGACUGCAACUUUGUCGGCUCGACAAAGGCCCUCCUGGACCACUUUGACGACUUCCAUGGCUGGCCUUGUUUUGCCAGGUCAGGACUGGCCAGAUGUGCAACUUAUACCUCAAGGAUGGCCUCAACACCGUCAUCCUCCCUGACGAAAAGCAAGGCACCACUGCCCGCUGGCUGUGCCUGUUCCUGCUGGAUGUGGUGCGCCCGCUGCUUGGCUGCACGAUCUCCAUGCUCCUCAUCCACCCACAUGCUGCCGAUGAGCACCAGGGUUCGUGCUCCAUGAAGAUGAAAUGCGAGCUCACGUACUCAUGGAACCUUUCAUUGAGUUGCGGUGAUCAGGUGGAGCAUAGCCAGGAGUCCAAGUUCACCGCGACAUGCACUGAUCGAUCCACUGGACUGCCCAACCCUGACGAGGACUUCCAGUUUGUUGUGCCUAAUUCCGUUCUUGCAGACGAUGACAAGGAGAAAACUAUCAAGGUUGGGUUCCGUAUUGCCAACAACUCAUAGAUCCCUUGAGGUUGAGGCCUUUACUACCUGAGCCAUUUGAUUUCAACUUCAGCUAAAAUUCUGCUAUAGGAAUGUCAUAGUCGGCAGGGCCUACUCUUGGAGCAAGGUGUCAUCUAGGAGUUAAGGCUGCUUGGGAGGACGUUGGAAAGUUUGGUUGUAAUUUGACUGGAUUCUAUCUAUGUAAAGAACCAAUGUAUUCUGAGUAUUUGGGAACAAGUUAACUCCUCUAUGUAAUUGGAGGAGGUUUAGGCUAAUGGAGGAUUAAGCAGAGUUUGGGGUUUCCCCUCAGCCCUAAA